rnacentral:tRNA from 1 species
UCCCGCAUAGUUCAAGUGGCAGAGCAUCCGCCUUGUAAGCGAUCCGUUGCAGGUUCGAGUCUGUAGCGGGCU